CGUUUUUUCGCCCCUGCAUACCGGAAUCCCCCUUGCUAGCUAGCGGUGAACAGUGUUAUUCGCUCCCGCCUGCCCUCACAUUCGUUAACAGAACUGUGGGAAAACAGUGCCCGACAGGAGGGGGCGAAUGACACUGUCUACCGGUCGCCCCCACUAGCACAUCAAACGACAGGCUAGGGCGGGGUUCGGCAACCCGCGGCUCUUUAGCGCCGCCCUAGUGGCUCCCUGGAGCUUUUUCAAAAAUAUGAAAAUGGAAAAAGAUGGUGUGAAUAUAUUUUUUGUUUUAAUAUAAUUUAUUAUCCAAUGCUGUAAAAAUGUGUAUAAUAAAUAUUUAAUUUCAACAUUUCUGUCAACGAAGAUUUACGUCAUAGCCUGCGACACACGUUUCUUUCAGCUCCGCGUAGUGCCAGACAGGUGGCUGUUGUAAACAAAACGGCGGGUGUGUCAUGGGCCAUGGAUCCCAAAGGGAAAAAGAGAAAGAUAGCUGAGGAGAACAGAGGAUUCCACAGUUCUUGGACCGAAUCAUUUGCUUUCAUUGCCAAUGCGGAAGGAUUGCCUGCAUGUUUGCUUUGUAAUGAGAAGUUGUCAAAUAACAAAAAGAGUAACGUGGAAAGACAUUUCCAUUCUUCCUGACAGUUAUAGGAACAUGAAGAAUUAUGCAUUUGGAGUAUUAUCCAUCUUUGGAUCAACAUACCUGUGCGAGCAGAUAUUCUCAAACAUGAACUACAUAAAAUCCAAAUACCGCACCCGCCUCACAGAUGAGAGCUUGCAGUCAGUCCUACGUGAAGAUUAAAGUUACAUCUUACAUGCCCGAUGUUGAGAAACUGUCCAGUGAUGUCCGAAAACAGAAGUCACAUUAAACGGGUCCGAGGAUGGCUGCAUUGUAUUGUGCGUGUCAAAAGAGAAGAGGGUGCUGCUGCAUUUUACCCUUGCACAUUUGCAGAAAACUAAAGAGAAGAGGAUAAUGCACAGACAUCGAACUUAAACUGUAUUAUUUUAAUUUUAUAUACUUUACCUUUUCAAAAGGCUGCUGUUUUAUUGCACUCUGUCUGUUGCCCAGAUAAGGGGGGAAAGAGAAGAGGAUUGUAUCGUAUUAUUGAGGAUUGAAAAGGACUGCAUUUUAUUUCCAUGGGGAGGUCUGAAAUUACAGGAGGCCUAUUAUGCACGUUGCACAUUUUGUUGUUGUUUUUUUCGAAUCCUAAAAUAAAAAUGACAUCAAAUCUGA